GGCCGACUAGCUCAGUUGGUUAGAGCGUCGUGCUAAUACGGGUUCGCUGGUAAGCGCGUGCUCAGUACUUCACGCCCUUACCGUCGGACUUGAUACGCGAAGGUCUUGGGUUCGAUCCCCACGUUGGCCA